CUGAGAGAGCGCUCCCUGUUUGACGAGAAGCUGGACGGCCAGUCAAGAAGCUCUACAUUAAUUACGGAAAUUUUUUUAGUCCCUCUAUUUUCUGUUUUUUUUUUUUGUUUUUUUUUCUCUCCCCUCUUUCUUUGCUUUUCCCCCCCUUUUAUUUGUUGUCAUCCUGCACUCUGACCAGCUCUUUUCACAGCAGAGUUCAGAAUACACUAGAAUGUAUGCGGUGGCUUCUAUGCAGUAAGCACACUGAGGUUAUGCUGCCCAAAAGCUGUCUGAGUCCCAGUGAGAAAGAGAAGGGCUAAAGCCGCACCAGUCCAAACCAGCUUCCCAGAGCCUGACUAACAGCAACUUUCCCUGCAGAGCCAUGAGCAGCCAAAGCGCACCCAGCCAGGUUACAGACGCUGUUGCAUCAGUUAUUCACAGUCCAGAGGCUUCUGCAGCCUCUUCGCUUUACGGUCACCAGCACCGAGAGGAGGAGGAUGAGGGCGACCUGAACAAAGCUCUGGGGGUUCAGCGUUUUCAGCAUAUUCUUCGCCCUGCUGCCUCUGUACCCGACGAGCUGCUUUACUCCUACCAUGAGGAGGACAUUGAAUACCACCGUCACUACUCUCGUCACAUCCACCGGCCUCUGUCCAAACUUCCGACUGAGGGGAGAAGAAAAAAAGGCAGCAAGAAAAGGAAAAAGAGCAAGGAUCAUAAAGGCAGCCGUGCGCCCUCUAGUGGUCCUAUAGAGGAGGGGGAAGAUGAGGAAGAGGAAGAAGAAGAGGAGGAGAGCAUAGAGGCAAAUUCUGCUCAAUCAGAGUCAGAGAAACCAAGAGAUGUGGAGUUUUUCUUGUCGGAUGAAGACCAAGUUUCCAGAUGGAGCAACUCGACCCGAGAGCUGAACAUCGUCCCUCAGUCUGCUGCGAGAGCAGAAGCCGAAGAUGUAUCUACCACUGACUCUCCGAGCCCCACUUCCCACUCGGCUUCACCUGAAAACCCGCCUCUGACUCGGGUCUCCUCCGCCAGCCGCAGCUACGACCUGCAGGAGCGCCGCCGAACAGGCAACAUGACUGGUGCGGAGCAAGCCAAGUACCAGCGCAUCCCCACGGACGAGAGCGAAGCCAUGACGCUGGCCUCCGCUGACCUGGAUGGGAUCAAAAGUCAUCGAUUCGAAGAUGUUCCCGGCGUGCGAAGACACCUCGUCAGAAAGAGCACCAAGGGGCAGAUGGUGCACAUUGGCAAAGACCACAAAGAGCCGACGACUCGCAGCAGAAAGCAGGACCGCACCCCACACGAGGUGUUUGUGGAGCUGAACGAGCUGACUAUGGACAAGAACCAGGAGAUGCAGUGGAAGGAGACGGCUCGAUGGAUCAAGUUUGAGGAGGAUGUGGAGGAGGAGACGGACCGCUGGGGGAAGCCUCACGUUGCUUCUCUGUCUUUUCGCAGCUUACUGGAGCUCAGACGGACCAUCUCCCACGGUGCGGUUCUGCUGGACCUGGACCAGAAGACCCUACCGGGCAUCUCCCACCAGGUGGUGGAGCAGAUGAUCAUUUCUGAUCAGAUCAAAGCGGAGGACCGAUCCAACGUCCUGAGAGCUCUGCUGCUUAAACACAGUCACCCGAGCGAUGAAAAGGAGCACGUUAGCCAUUUCCCCAGAAACAUCUCAGCAGCCAGCCUCGGCAGCCUUUUAGCACACCACCACACUGCUAACCACAACCACCAGCUGGAGCCGUCUGUGACCGACCCCCUCAUGGGCGCCGUCAUCUCCGGGCUGGACGGCGAAACUCGGAUCGACAUGGACAGGAAUGAGCUACAGAAGGAACCGACUCUGGGACCUGGAAUGCAUCGAUCCAAGUCCAAACAUGAGCUGAAGUUGCUGGAGAAGAUUCCAGAAAAUGCUGAGGCCACCGUGGUUCUUGUCGGUUGUGUCGACUUCCUGGAACAGCCUACAAUGGCAUUUGUGAGGCUCCAGGAGGCAGUGGAGCUCGAGUCCGUUCUGGAAGUACCUGUGCCUGUCAGGUUCCUCUUUGUUCUGCUUGGACCACCAACCACCAGCAUGGACUACCAUCAGAUUGGACGAUCAAUCUCCACCCUCAUGUCUGACAAGCAAUUUCAUGAGGCUGCUUACCUGGCAGACGACAGGCAGGACCUGCUGAAUGCCAUCAACAGCUUCUUGGACUGCAGUAUUGUUCUGCCACCGUCAGAGAUGGGAGAUGACGAGCUCCUGCGCUCUGUUGCGCGCUUUCAGAGAGAGAUGCUCCGUAAGAGGGAAGAACAGGAACAAGUGAAACUGUUGGGUAAUGAGCCUAAAAGCCUUGAAGAGAAAAAAGCUCUCCUCAAACCUUCACAAAAGUCAGACGACCCCUUGGAGCGCACGGGCCGCCCCUUUGGAGGGCUUAUAAGAGACAUUCAACGUCGAUACCCAAAGUACCUCAGCGACUUCAAGGACGCCCUGGACAGCCAGUGCAUGGCUGCCGUUAUCUUCAUCUACUUCGCGGCUCUCUCUCCAGCAAUCACAUUUGGAGGUCUGCUAGGUGAGAAGACAGACGGGCUGAUUGGGGUUUCUGAGCUGAUUGUCUCGACAGCCGUUCAUGGUGUCCUGUUCUGCUUACUCGGAGCCCAGCCGCUGCUGAUCGUGGGCUUUUCUGGCCCUAUUCUGGUCUUCGAGGAAGCCUUUUUUAGUUUCUGCAAAGCAAACGACAUGGAGUACCUGACGGGCCGCGUCUGGAUCGGCUUUUGGCUCGUCGUCAUUGUGAUCAUUAUGGUGGCCUUCGAAGGCAGCUUUCUGGUGCGCUUCGUCUCCCGCUUCACCCAGGAGAUCUUCUCCUUCCUCAUCUCCCUCAUCUUCAUCUGCGAGACCUUCAUCAAGCUGGGCAGGAUAUUUAAGGAGCACCCGCUGAAACGCUGCUCCAUAAACGGCACUACAGAAGGAGACGUGUCUCCAGAAAACAUCAUGGUGAUCCAGAACAACAGCACCCAGAUGGUCACGGUCACCGGGGAGCCCAACACCGCGCUGCUCUCUCUGGUCCUGAUGGCCGGAACGUUUUUCAUCGCUUUUUACCUGCGCAAGUUCAAGAACAGCGCCCUUUUCCCCGGGAGGUUUCGCAGGAUGAUCGGAGACUUCGGAGUUCCUAUUGCAAUCCUCGUCAUGGUUCUGGUGGACUACAGCAUAGAAGACACAUACACACAGAAACUGAGCGUCCCCAGCGGCUUUUCUGUGACGAGUCCCGACAAACGAGGCUGGAUCAUCAACCCUCUGGGCUCAGACGGUGAAUUUCCCAUCUGGAUGAUGUUCGCCUGCUGUUUGCCCGCUCUGCUGGUGUUCAUCCUCAUCUUCAUGGAGACUCAGAUCACCACGCUCAUUGUCAGCAAGAAGGAGCGGAUGCUGGUGAAGGGUUCUGGUUUCCACCUGGACCUCCUGUUGAUCGUGGUUCUCGGCGGCACCUCAGCUCUGUUCGGCCUCCCGUGGAUGCCCGCCGCCACCGUUCGCUCUGUGACCCACGUCAACGCCCUCACGGUCAUGAGCAAAGCCGUCGCCCCCGGAGACAAGCCUCGCAUCCAGGAGGUGAAGGAGCAGAGGGUUACUGGGCUCCUGGUUGCUGUUAUGGUUGGUAUGUCCAUCGUGAUCGGCGACCUGCUGCGUCAGAUCCCCCUCGCCGUCUUGUUCGGCAUCUUCCUCUACAUGGGGGUGAUGUCGCUCAACGGCAUCCAGCUGUCCGAGCGGAUGAUGCUGCUCCUCAUGCCACCCAAGUACCACCCCGACCACACCUACGUCCGCAAGGUAAGAGAAGUGAAGCAAGGAAUACGUGCUUGCAAGGUGACAUGAGUAAAUUAGUGUGUAAUGGAUGGAUUUGUGCCCCUCAGGUUCGUACGUGGCGCAUGCAUCUGUUCACCUGCAUCCAGAUGGUGUGUUUGGUCGUCCUCUGGUCUGUUAUGUCCACCCAGGCGUCUCUGGCUUUCCCCUUCGUCCUCAUCCUCACCGUCCCCAUCAAGAUGUUCGUGCUGCGUCGCAUCUUCAAUGAAAGGGAGAUGGAAUGUUUGGACGGUGAUGAUGCACAGCCAAAGUUUGACGAGCACGAUGAGUACUCUGAGAUGCACAUGCCUGUGUAGCUACGCUGCCAGGCCUCAUAUCACCACUGAGCUGAAAUCCACUCAACACCCGACACCCGUUAGGACCAGCAAGCUCCGGGUCAGAAACUAGAAAGUGAAGUUCCCUGGAGGGUCUGGUCAAAACUAUCUCCGCUCUGCUGGAUAGCGGCAGGUUUCUGUGGCUCUUCAUGACAUUUCUUUUAUUUAAACAGUUUUUUUCAAGGGACAAAAGAUUUUAAAUAAAACAAAGUGAUUACACACUAACAAUUAAUAUAUAGCAGUAGAUGUAUGUGCAAAUCAGAUUACUUUUUAGCCUGGAAAGGUUGCUAUGAUUCACAUUGAAUAUGUGGAAGAUAUCUAGGAUACAUUCCUUAAUAUUAACAUGGUGUUAGUGCUAGUCAUGUUUUUUUUUUCUUCGUUUUAAACCAACUAAGCGCCUUAUGAAGGAAACCUGAUAUACUGAGCUGUUUUUUUUCUCCUCAUUCUGUCUUAUUUUAGACAGUCAAUCACUUUAAACACAAAGCUUGUAGCACUUUUUAUAAGAAACCAAAUCUGAACUGUAUUGUAUUUAAUUAUUUUAGCUGCUUAGUGUUCUUAUAAACCUCCUAAAUCAUGAUGUCGCCUUAGUUGAGAGGUUAUUAGCCUGCUCUUUUAUCAUUUCAGUUGUUUUUAAUGCAGAUGCUGCAGUUUAAAUCAUGUUCACUGACUGCAGUGAUGCAAGAUCACCAGCAGAGGGAGAUCUUGGAUUACCAUUGUGUUUCACCAAAUUGAAAUUGUUUUAUCACAUCUAUGCCAUGAACUCAUGUUUCUCAUCAUGCAGAGUUACCUUUUUUUAUUUAAAGAAUUGACACGGUAGUAUCAUAAAUACACUUGAGUUGUCUCCAUGCACGUGUGCAGGGCAUUAAUGUUCUAAUAUUCACUGGGUGAAGUUGGUUUGUGGGAAAUGCUGUAAAUUUAUUACUACUUGUCCAAGUGCCAAAUAAUCUACUGUGUGUGAUGCAAUCAGAAUAAUAAGCUGCAGCAGUGUGGUCAUCUCUGUUUUCCUGAUUUUACCGUUUUCUCACAUUUCCACUCUAAAACAUUCCACCUUUUAACUUUGUAUUUUUAUCUAAUGGUUUAAACAUUUCAGUUAUGACCACAUUUUUGGAAUAGUUUGCAUGAUGUUGCGUCAGUGUAACAUGGAUCGGGUGAAGCUUUGACUGUGUCAAAUACUUUAAAACUUUCUCACUUCUGUGAUAGCCACAUAUGAAUGUCAAACCCUACUUGUCCCCUCUGAAUCGUCCCGCCCCAGCCUGACUGAGACGGUGACUUUUUGGAGUCAAAGGUCGCACAAAGUCUCAAGUGCCUGUGGAAGGGAGGGGGGUGUGAUCAAGGAGUGUCUUGUGUGUCUAAGAUGGCACACGUUAGUGUUCAGCACUUUUCAAUCAGACAUCUCUGAAUUAUGCAUCUGUUGCAUCACUGCUGUUUCUUUAAAGAAUACUACAGAAGGUGUUUUUAAAGUACACAAACACUCAGCUGUGCUUUAUUCGCAACAAAGAUCUGUUAGAAGUGGCAGUCUGUGUUGUUUCUGAUCAGUGUGCCUGUGUAGGUUCAGAUUCUGUGAUCAAGUUGUUAAGAAAUGUGUAGAUUUGUUUUUAUUGCAAUAUGAAGUCGACGAGACUGUUGCUGAUAACUUAUGCAUCGGUGGUUCAGAUAUUGAUGACAAAUAAAAGGUAUUUUCUAA